rfam:Triticum aestivum genome assembly, contig: Triticum_aestivum_CS42_TGACv1_scaffold_622872_7DS
CCGCUACUCCCUCUGUCCCAAAUUUCUUGUCUUAGAUUUGUCUAGAAAUGGAUGUAUCUAAUACUAAAAUGUGACUUCAUACAUCCGUAUCUAGACAAAUCUAAGACAAGAAUUUUCGGGCGGAGGGAGUACUUA